rnacentral:rRNA from 1 species
AGUGAACGCUGGCGGCAGGCCUAACACAUGCAAGUCGAACGGCAACACAGUAAGAGCUUGUUCUUUCGGGUGGCGAGUGGCGGACGGGUGAGGUAUACAUCGGACUCCACUUUUUCGUGGGGGAAAUCCUAGGGACAGUUACGCUAAUCCCGCAUACGACCUACGGCAGAAAGCAGGAGCUCUUCGGCCCUUGCGCGAUUGUAUGAGCCGAUGUCGGAUUCGCUAGUUGGCGGGGUAAAGGCUCACCAAGGCGACGAUCCGUAGCUGGUCUGAGAGGAUGAUCAGCCACACUGGAACUGAGACACGGUCCAGACUCCUACGGGAGGCAGCAGUGGGGAAUAUUGGACAAUGGGCGCAAGCCUGAUCCAGCCAUACCGCGUGGAUGAAGAAGGCCUUCGGGUUGUAAAGCCCUUUUGUUGGGAAAGAAAAGCAUCAGGUUAAUACCCCGCUGUACUGACGUUACCCAAAGAAUAAGCACCGGCUAACUUCGUG